UGGGGAAUAUUGCACAAUGGGCGCAAGCCUGAUGCAGCCAUGCCGCGUGUAUGAAGAAGGCCUUCGGGUUGUAAAGUACUUUCAGCGGGGAGGAAGGGAGUAAAGUUAAUACCUUUGCUCAUUGACGUUACCCGCAGAAGAAGCACCGGCUAACUCCGUGCCAGCAGCCGCGGUAAUACGGAGGGUGCAAGCGUUAAUCGGAAUUACUGGGCGUAAAGCGCACGCAGGCGGUUGAUUGAGUCAGAUGUGAAAUCCCCGGGCUUAACCCGGGAAUUGCAUCUGAUACUGGUCAGGUAGAGUCGUGUAGAGGGGGGUAGAAUUACAUGUGUAGAGGUGAAAUGCGUAGAGAUGUGGAGGAAUACCGGUGGCGAAGGAGGCCCCCUGGACAAAGACUGACGCUCAGGUGCGAAAGCGUGGGGAGCAAACAGG
rnacentral:rRNA from 1 species